UACGUAGGUGGCGAGCGUUGUCCGGAUUUAUUGGGCGUAAAGGGCGCGCAGGGUGGUGCGGCAAGUCCGUCGUGAAAAUCUCCCGGCUCAACUGGGAGGUGCGGCGGGGACUGCCGGACUAGAGGCACUCAGAGGCCGGUGGAAUUCCCGGUGUAGUGGUGGAAAUGCGUAGAGAAUCGGGAGGAACACCAGUGGCGAAGGCGGCCGGCUGGGGGUGACCUGACGCUGAGGCGCCGAAAGCGUGGGGAGCGAACCGG
rnacentral:rRNA from 1 species